AGUAAGGGUUAUUCGUAGCCCGACCUCCAACCCUUUGUUGUUAUAACUACCUCGUUGCUUUGGCGGGACCGCUCGGUCUCGAGCUGCCGGUCUUCGGCCCGGCAAGUGCCCGCCAGAGUCUACUCAAACUCUUGUUUUAACCGGUCGUCUGAGUUAAACUUUUAAUUAAAUUAAAACUUUCAACAACGGAUCUCUUGGUUCUCGCAUCGAUGAAGAACGCAGCGAAAUGCGAUAAGUAAUGUGAAUUGCAGAAUUCAGUGAAUCAUCGAAUCUUUGAACGCACAUUGCGCUCCCUGGUAUUCCGGGGAGCAUGCCUGUUCGAGCGUCAUUACACCACUCAAGCACUGCUUGGUAUUAGGCCAUCGUCCCCCGCAAGGUGGGCGUGCCUCAAACACCUCGGCGGAGCCUCACCGGCUUUGGGCGUAGUAGAAUUUCUCAACGUCUUGCAAGUACCGGUCUGACUCCUUUGCCGUUAAACCACCAAUUUUUUACAGGUUGACCUCGGAUCAGGUAGGGAUACCCGCUGAACUUAAGCAUAUCAAUAAGCGGAGGAAAAGAAACCAACAGGGAUUGCCCUAGUAACGGCGAGUGAAGCGGCAACAGCUCAAAUUUGAAAUCUGGCACUUGUGUCCGAGUUGUAAUUUGUAGAGGAUGCUUUUAGGCAGCCACCGGUCUAAGUUCCUUGGAACAGGACGUCAUAGAGGGUGAGAAUCCCGUAUGUGACCGGAGAGGCACCUUAUGUAAAGCUCCUUCGACGAGUCGAGUUGUUUGGGAAUGC
rnacentral:rRNA from 1 species